CCUACGGGAGGCAGCAGUCGAGAAUCAUUCACAAUGGGGGAAACCCUGAUGGUGCGACGCCGCGUGGGGGAAUGAAGGUCUUCGGAUUGUAAACUGCUGUCAUGUGGGAGCAAAUGAAAAAGAGAGUACCACAAGAGGAAGAGACGGCUAACUCUGUGCCAGCAGCCGCGGUAAUACAGAGGUCUCAAGCGUUGUUCGGUAUCACUGGGCGUAAAGCGUGCGUAGGCGGUUUCGUAAGUCGGGUGUGAAAGGCGUGGGCUCAACCCGCGGACGGCACGUGAUACUGGGGGACUAGAGUAAUGGAGGGGGAACCGGAAUUCUCGGUGUAGCAGUGAAAUGCGUAGAUAUCGAGAGGAACACUCGUGGCGAAGGCGGGUUCCCGGACAUCAACUGACGCUGAGGCACGAAGGCGCGGGGAGCGAAAGGGAUUAGAUACCCUUGUAGUC
rnacentral:rRNA from 1 species